GAGUUUGAUCUUGGCUCAGGACGAACGCUGGCGGCGUGCUUAACACAUGCAAGUCGAGCGGUAAGGCCUUCGGGUACACGAGCGGCGAACGGGUGAGUAACACGUGGGUGAUCUGCCCUGUACUUCGGGAUAAGCCUGGGAAACUGGGUCUAAUACCGGAUAUGACCACUUCUCGCAUGGGGGGUGGUGGAAAGCCUUGUGCGGUAUGGGAUGGGCCCGCGGCCUAUCAGCUUGUUGGUGGGGUAAUGGCCUACCAAGGCGACGACGGGUAGCCGGCCUGAGAGGGCGACCGGCCACACUGGGACUGAGACACGGCCCAGACUCCUACGGGAGGCAGCAGUGGGGAAUAUUGCACAAUGGGCGCAAGCCUGAUGCAGCGACG
rnacentral:rRNA from 1 species